rnacentral:rRNA from 1 species
GACGAACGCUGGCGGCGUGCCUAACACAUGCAAGUCGAACGGGAGCAAGUGCUUCGGUAUUUGCUUUAGUGGCGAACGGGUGAGUAACGCGUGAAUAACCUGCCUUUCAGAGGGGGACAACAGUUGGAAACGACUGCUAAUACCGCAUAAGCCCACGACCCGGCAUCGGGUUGAGGGAAAAGGAGCAAUCCGCUUUGAGAUGGCCUCGCGUCCGAUUAGCUGGUUGGUGAGGUAACGGCCCACCAAGGCGACGAUCGGUAGCCGGACUGAGAGGUUGAACGGCCACAUUGGGACUGAGAUACGGCCCAG